GAGCGAACGCUGAAAAGCACCCCACGAAGGGAGGUGCAAUAGGGCGUGAAAUCAGUUGGCGAUAGAGCGACGGGGCACACAAGGUCCCGAUCAAAAUGACCGUAGCGCGAGCUACCAGUAAGAAGAUCGGGAAGCCGGUGUUCCGUCGUACGUUUUGAAAAACGAACCAGGGAGUGUGUCUGAUUGGCGAGUCUAACCCGAGUAUCGGGGCAGGCGUAGGGAAACCGACAUGGCCGCAGCAUUGCGAGGGCCGCCGUGUUCAAGCGCGGGGAGUCA
rnacentral:ncRNA from 1 species